GGGCUGUAGCUCAAUGGUAGAGCAUCUCCUUUGCGUGCAGAAGGUUCUGGGUUCAAUCCUUGGGAUCUCCA